GUCCACGCCCUAAACGAUGAUCACUCGAUGUGUGCGAUACACUGUACGCGUCUGAGCGAAAGCAUUAAGUGAUCCACCUGGGGAGUACGACCGCAAGGUUGAAACUCAAAGGAAUUGACUGGGGCCCCGCACAAGCGGAGGAGCAUGUGGUUUAAUUCGAUGAUACGCGAGGAACCUUACCAGGGCUUGAAAGUUAGUGAAGGAUGUGGAAACAUGUCCGUCAGCAAUGACACGAAACUAGGUGCUGCAUGGCUGUCGU
rnacentral:rRNA from 1 species